GGGGCUGUAGCUCAGUGGCAGAGCACUUGCCUAGUAUGUGUGGGGCCCUGAGUUCAAUCCUCAGCAGCACAU
rfam:Ictidomys tridecemlineatus contig070519, whole genome shotgun sequence.